GCAACAGUGAUGGGCAAGGACUCACCCUCCCUCCCCAUUGCUCCCUUCAUAAGUCCAGCAAGGUGUGCCAACUUUCCCCAGCAGCAUCAGGCACUCCUGCAGCUCCCUACUGCUCCUCUAGUAAGCACAGUGCCAGUGGACCCUCACAGUGCCAAAUAUUGCUGCAUCUCCCAAUCUGCCUCCCUGUCAAGCACUGGCAGAGGUGCUACGACAGCGUGGCUACUGAUCCGCUCCUCCUCACUCUUUCAAUUGCAGGACUGGCAGUGAUGCCAAGGCACUCAAAUCGUGCCAGACAUAGAUAAAGAUGCUUGGUAAUAAUACCUUCUUGCAAGAAAUGGCAAUAAGGCUCAAGUAUCCAUAUGGUGCUCUAAUAACCUUCCCUUGCCCUUUAUAGCUUCAAACACUUGCAAGGAUACUAGGUUGCCCAGAGAACCUUACAAAUCUUUGAGGGACUCCCUAAUCAGAGGAAAAGGAAUCCUUCAGUGCUGCUGGCAGGUUGUUUCACUUACUCAUAUGUAGUUCACAGCCAUCUACAAGUUUAUAAGCAACUACUCUUACAAUAACUACCAUCUCUUCUGUCUUCACCACCAGAAAAGCUGCCCUGAGGAAACCCCCAGAUGUGCAUAGGCAAUAUCCCCAAAUGCUAUGGCACAAUCCAGUGCUGCUAAAUUGAGCUUCUUCACCUGCCUGUUAUUGUGAUGAGUUUUGGUGGAACACUGUGUUUCAGUGGCCCACUGAUAGACCAUUAUUAGUAAAUGCCUAAGAUUUUGGUACAUGUAUAAAGAAAGAAUAAGAAAACAUGGUCCAAGUAAUGUCUCAGAGAGCUUAUGCUAAUUAAAAACUUAGGGUGUUCCAAUCUCUUCCUACUACUGCUGUAUAUUCUUCACUGACUCACAAACCAAAAUUGAGCUUUGGCUGUCUAAAAGGAGAGAAGCAGAUUUUUUUUCUAAUACUACCACCUGAAAGUAUUUCCCGUGCUUCCCUCCACUGAUACCACUUGGCCUCUUUGGCCAGCUACAAACCCAUGCUGCUUCCGCUUGUAAAGGAAAAAACUGGCAGAAGAUGAAAGGCUGCUUCUGUGCUCCAAAUGCCUCAUACUUUGAUUAAAAAUGUUUUUGUCAAUUAGAGAUUGAUUUUUGCUGUUCAUUAAAGUGAUGGAUGUCAGUGCUGAUGGAGGUGAUAUUUUACCCUGUGGUGGCCUGCUAUAUAAAUGGGUAGGAGAAACUGGAGGCUCCAGUUUGUUGGAGUGGAGUUGAUGACCAGGACUGGGAUAAAAUAGGCCAGUCAGAGAAUGGAGAAAUGAGUGCCACAGUGCUCAGAGAGGAGCAGGGGAAAGCUUUAAUUGCAGAGUUUUGUAGUCAGUCUUUACCACUUUCUCUCUCCGCAGGCACCACAGAAGCUGAAGAUAGAGACAGAGAUGUGGGAUGUUUUGGAGGGUUGCACAGUGCGGAUGAAGUUAUGGAUUAUAUAAAUGCCACAAGCUGGUACGUUUUUAUAUGCAGGCCAUGCAAUAUUUCCCCAACCCAAGCUGAGCUUCUCCUCUAGGAACUCACACCCUGACACUGCCAUCAAAAGGACGUUUCCUGAGAGGGAGAAAGGGCUGUCCUUAAACUGCAUGGGAUAGGUUGAAGCUAAGAUAAAAGAAAAGUUGAGAGCUUCAAAUACAUAACCAACAACUGUUUUCCCAAAAUUAAUCUACUUUUACCCCUCACUUUCUGCAGGACAGCAACACCUCACAUGUAUUGCUACCAGAGAGGGUAAGACAGGAAGUUACCAGAAGCUGCAGCAUUUUCCAAUGCCGUACCUAUUGUGCUUUUGGCAUUAUUAGCCCUGGCCAUGUGAAGGAGAAAAAUCAGGAGUCAUACACAAGAAAUAGUCGAGUCAGACCAUCUGGUGAAAGUGGCAAAGCACACAAAUAUGAAAUCUCCUUGGGGCUGGGUCUCCUCAGAACUACCAGUACUUGUAGAAGAGAAUUUGAGCAUCCAUACAUCUUCAGAACUAUGAUACAAACCCUGACAACACAGCUGGAUUUUACAGACUUUUUCAACCUACUGCACACCCAUCAGUUCUUUUACAGGCAAAGAAAGAGAAAGAAAUGCACCCCUGCUCCAGAGGAGAGUCCUGAUGCAACAGGAAUUCAAAGGCAGAAUUUAAUGGCCGGACAGCAGUCCGCAUAUAAAAUGUCUCAGUCUCUGAGAAAGCCAUUUGGGACCAGCAGCUACAUCAGAUGUUACAGCAGCUUCACUCUUUGCUGGGACAAUAGCAGGAGGAUUCAGGUGUGCACAAUGUUAUGAUUACAUCAAAUGGGUUGAAUAAUGCCCUUCAUGCCAUGCUAUCCUCCUGCCUUCAGCAGGGACGUAGAUCAGCCACAGGCAGUCACUAGUGCAAAACACACUGAGGGCUGAAACACAGCUCUACAAAAAUCCACCUGCUCCCUCUCACCAUUGCAAUCUGCUAUCUGUAGGUCCCCCAUCUCCUUCAAGUUCCAGUUUUAGUCACAAACUGUAUGUGCAUAUAAAAACACACACGCACACGGACACAUAUAUUUGUAUGCUGAUGAGAUCAUUAAAUUUAUCAGCUCUCCAAUUCAUUUGAGGUUCGUUAUGGAGCUGCAGCACUGCUCCUUUCAUCUGGAAAUGGAAAGGGAACGGCCUUUACCCCUUUCUCGAAAUUAAAGUGAAAUGGGUACCAUUUUAUUUUAAGUGCCCAUUAACUAAAGCGUAACUGAAACCAAGUUACAGUGGGUGCCUCAGGGGAAUGAACAUAGGAGAGAAAGCACACACACACAAACCCCACCCCCCCACACACAGACACACCAACAGCAAAUGGUGGCAGGCUCAAAAAUCAGGGGAAUAAACAUCAAAGCACUUCAUAGUGCAGUGAUAGUUAAAAACCUAUUUUACACCCAGAAACGGCAAGAGAUGCAGGCCCAAGAGCUCUUCAGCGCCUUUGAAAGACCCAUUUAAGUCUUAUUAAAAUAUUACCUGGGUUUUCUUUUUUUUUUUUUUUGUGCCUUUUACUGGAUUUAAACUCUUAAUUCAUCUUCCAUAAUUUUUUUUUUUUUUGCACUGGGCUAUUGUAAGGGGGAAAAGACUCAAUACUGUUAGUAAAAGGAUCUAAUUGGUAACUUCUUUUCAUCUCAGAAGCCCCCUGUUCCUCCCUCAUCCUCUCAUUCCUUACAGGUUGGGUCAUAGCAGCUUUCUUAAUCUUUGGAGAUUAUUCUUUUGUGGUUUGAUGAGACUUCACUAGACUCUUAAAUCUUUUCAUUUCACCUCAUUUAAAUAUUUUGGCCAAUUGCUGAAGUUAAUGAUGAUGAAUAGGAUUAAGAUUAAAGGCUUAAAAGAGUUAGGAGGAGGAAAAAAUAUAUUUCAUUUCCAACAAUGCAUACAGAAGUCUCUUUUCCUCAGUGUUGCAUUACCUCUCUGUUAGGGCUGUAGCUUGCAGUUCUUGGCAGGUCUCUGACAUGGCUGCAUCUGUCUGUCUCUCUGCAACAUCUCUUUUUGGCACCAAGUUCAGUAGAAAUGAUCAGGAUCUUUGCACUGUCUUUGCAUAUGCUCACUUGUUCUUUGUGCUGUCUGCCUCUGCUUGUGCUCUGUCUGCACUUCCCUGACUUAUUCUAAACCCACGUAUCUGAGUAUAACCUUUCAAAGAUGUCAUUUAAAAUAAAAAGACCCCGCACAUUUAUAUAGACAAAAUUAUCCUUAUCAUUUUGCACAGCAAUUUAGAAGACAACCAGCCUGAAAUUCUCGUCUGUGCAGAGUACAACCCUUUCCCAAAGGAAAAAAAUCUUCUCCUUUAUUAUUCUUAAACUCCUUUCCAUAUACUGAUUUCCUCUGGUAUCAAGUUGAAAAUUCAUCCUCAUAGUAUAUGAAGCCACAGAAAUUGGACCAAACUGGAAAUCUAGCUGCAACUAAAUAAGUCAUAUUUCCCCAUCAGUCCUUUGCUUAAAAUCAUAAAUAUAAUCUCACAGAAACUGCAAUUCUAGGAAGCCUUAGAUCAGUUUGGAUAGUCUUGAGUCCCUCUGACUGGUGUUUCAAAAGCAGUGGAGAAGAGAGCUCAUUAAGUGGCUUGCUGGGGGGGUGGGGGGGGGGUAAUACAAGUUGCCAAAUAAAACCAGGAAAUUCUUUGUCAAACCCAGCUUUGCCAGGAAAAUUGUGAGCUGGUGGUACUAUAACUGAACAAAAUUAUAUUUUCUGCUAUGUCUGUAGCAGCAAGGAAAAGGUGGGUGGAUGGCAGCAACCAGUUCCUGGAGCAGCACCAGGAACUUUUCGAUGCCAUACAAAACCCUGCUCUGACAGGGCAUUCUCCAUUUUUACCUAAACACUUCUUCCAUCCUCAGUAUUGUAAAUCUACAUCUUGUCCAACACAAACUUUUUUAACAGGUGGGAGGAGAGUGAAUGCAUUUUGCAGGCUUCAGUGAAAAAGCUGCAUGAGAGGGAACAUCAUUUAUAAUGUUAAGGAUUAAAAAUGGCUUACUGUGGGGAAUAAAGUGAGCUAUGGGUCUGCUGAAGAUUUCUGGCAUAUUGAACAAACUGUACUGAAGCUCUAACCUAAAAUAUUUAUAACAAUAUUUACCAGAGUUCAUGUUAGACUUGGUUGGGGCAGAGCAGGUCCUUUAGCAAAGAAGGAAUGUGCGCAGUGCUGGAGUCUGUCUGGGCUCAAUAAAAGAUGAGCAAGGACAGGAAUGAGUUCAGUGGAGGGAGCUGGAAUAUCAUUUGGUGUUGCCUUAGGCAAAGCACAAAGCCCACAAGAGAAGCAGUUCUGCUAAGAUGAAUCUAAGGAUCAAGUAUGACUGAUACCAAACUUGACAGGGAAAUGCUAAUGGGAUGUACAAGGAUGGACAAGUACAAGUAUUUGCCACUCCAGACUGAGGGAAAUAUGUCUACAUUGAGCAGGCCUAUUUCAGAUCAUCCUUGUACAACACUCUGACCAACUCUGUGUUUUGGCCAGCGUGAGUAGACCUGGAGAUGAAGCCCCAAGUGUGUUCACAGCUCAGGACAACACAGCAUUAGGAAGAGAAAUGUUGCCUCCUGGAUGACAACUCAAGUAGCUGGGUCAUAUCCUAAGUAAGAGGCAGUAUUUCCUCACUGCUGAAAUGAGAGACUUUUUGGAAAAUCCUAGACAUUGCAAGCAGUGCAUAAUCAUUGUCCUGCCACAACAGAAAGGUGACUCUCCCAGUGGGGGUUGCUUACCUAAAACGUGUCCAGAAAUGUGUUCAGUUCUUUACACUUCUUAAAGUCUCAGCAGCACCUUCUCUAACUGCAGGGUGGAAAAAUCCUAGUGUGCUCAACAAAUGCAAAAUCAAAUGUUUUGACUGACACAGCGGGCUUGAACCAGAGACUGCCAGAGAUAAAAGCAGAAGGUAAGGAAUCAAGUGGUUGCUCAUCAGCAGACUGCAGAGCAGUCUGAUAGCUGUAGAGGAUUUUAUGGAUGCAGAGACAAAUUUUGAGGGGCAUAUGGACCAAGAGGAUUUUUACUCCUUGAAAUUACUCCUUAAAAGUCCUCUCCACUGCCAAGCAGAGAGGCUGCUGGAAAAACAGCUGUGAUGGGUAUAGGGAUUGUGCAAUGGCCCAUCACAGCCACAUCUAUUCCCAGUGCACAUUUUCUAUCUUCAUUUGUGGCCCUAAGCUUUUGUGCAGAUUGGUAAAUAUUACGCAGAUAUCAUAUUCUGUGGCGAAGUGGACAAUCUCUUUUCAAAAUGCACUCAGUUUUUAAAGGCUUCAUCUGGUUUAAUGCAAGAAAGAAAAGAAAAGGAGAACAUAGUUUCUCCAUUUAUUUCAAGAUUGAAAUGUAAAAAUUUUUUUUUACUGCAUCCAAUAUCAGCAUUUGUAAACCGUCAACAGAACCUAUGUAUUAUUAUUUAAAAGAAUAAAAUUAAAAACAAUUUUAAAAUAGAAGAAAAUUAAGGUUUAAUAAAGAUCUAUUAGAUUUUUUUUUUCACUCCUUUUUUCUGGAAACCAAGCCUGGAAGACUUUCAGUUCAGUAAAAAGGAAGAAGGACCUCAGGAUAUUGCUCAAGGAUUCAGUACCUUCAAAAGAGAAAUGUAAGGAAACAUCAAAAGCAGGUGUGUGCAUGCAUGAGUGUGCUGCCCAUGUGUCUGUGCAUGCCUCUCCUCUUUAUCAGGGGCACAGACAGAGCUUGGCCCUUUGCCUCAACUCCAUAAUGAGUUACAGUUCCCUCUGAGCUCUCUUUUCUUCAGCCUUUGAAAAAUAAUCGUGUCACUGAGGUUGGGGUUUCAGUUGCCCACAGCUGUAAACCUGUCCAGUUUUCUGAGAGAUCCUGGGUUACUCUCAACCUGGGCUGCUGUGCUACUUUCCCUGAGCUUUUCCUUUAAUUAUCACAUAUAGAUUCAGCUUUUUAGCAAAUAACUGUUCAUAAAGAAAUGCUAAAGUCCAUGAAAAAAACCAAAACGCACCAACAUUUCUUUACAUAUUAAAAAAAAAAACCACCCUAAAAUUCAAAACUCUUUCAUAUCUAGACAAACACAUGAAACUCCAGAGAAAACUGAAAAGAGAGGGCAAUUCCAGUACAAACAGAUGGUUCUCAUGCUUGUCUGGGAUAAGAAAGAUAAAUCUGCAUCUCAGAUGUGACUGUGGCAAUACAGGAUCUGAGCUGUAUUUCCCACAUCUCCAGUCGCACAAGCUAAUGCCACAAGCUAGUAACACAAGCAGGUACUACAUGCUCAAUAUACAAUGUGCCCAAAUUCUAAAAUUAAAAAUUUUCUAGCUGACAGUAUGCUUACAUAAAUACAGCCUCAAUUUUAAUGAAUUAACGUAUUCCUACUAAACUGAACUGAACUAAACUAAACUAAAUUAAGAGUCACCAGCUAAUCCACGCACUCCCAGCCAGACCUUCCAAUAAAAAAUUCUGGUAUUGCUCAGGCACUAGUAAUAAUGGCAUAAACCCUCUUUUUAGCAACAACUAAAAAAGAAGCCUGUCUGGGCAGAAGGUGCUGGUGGAUCUGUGUCUGCCCAUGGCCUUCCGACUGAGUUAUGUCUGCUUGUGACUUUCACUUUUUUUGGUUGUGGUUAAUUAAUAGCCAUUCACCAGGCAAACCUCACUUUAGCUGAGAUUCUUUUGAAGCCAUUAAAUCCUAUGUAUUUUUUAUUUUCCCCUCAUUUGUUACAGUGCUGUGCACACAGAAUUCAAAGCUGCUUUGAAUUCAGCAAUCACCAAGGCUUGGCAUUGAUCAAGGUGAGUAUUUUCAUUCAAGCAUUCUUAAGACUCUUGUCAGUACCCAGCUGCUUCUUCACAGGCUCCCAAUAAUCUCAGCGCUAUUUCUUUUGAAUGAGAUAAAAAUAGCUCUUAUUGAUGAAGACUACUGGAAACAAAACAGUAGUUUUUGCCUAGAGAACUGGGUCAAUCCAAUACCUGGGUUUAUAACACCAACAUGGAGAUUACUCUAUGCCAGCCUGAUGGAGCCAUUACACAUCUGGAAA
rnacentral:lncRNA from 1 species